rnacentral:rRNA from 1 species
UAGGGAAUCUUCGGCAAUGGACGAAAGUCUGACCGAGCAACGCCGCGUGAGUGAAGAAGGUUUUCGGAUCGUAAAACUCUGUUGUUAGAGAAGAACAAGGACGUUAGUAACUGAACGUCCCCUGACGGUAUCUAACCAUAAAGCCACGGCUAACUACGUGCCAGCAGCCGCGGUAAUACGUAGGUGGCAAGCGUUGUCCGGAUUUAUUGGGCGUAAAGCGAGCGCAGGCGGUUUCUUAAGUCUGAUGUGAAAGCCCCCGGCUCAACCAGGGAGGGUCAUUGGAGACUGGGAGACUUGAGUGCAGAAGAGGAGAGUGGAAUUCCAUGUGUAGCAGUGAAAUGCGUAGAUAUAUGGAGGAACACAAGUGGCGAAGGCGGCUCGCUGGUCUGUAACUGACGCUGAGGCUCGAAAGCGUGGGGAGCAAACAGG